rnacentral:rRNA from 1 species
AGCAGCCGCGGUAAUUCCAGCUCCAAUAGCGUAUAUUAAAGUUGUUGCAGUUAAAAAGCUCGUAGUUGAAUUUCGGGAUCAAUAUAUUGGUCGUGCCUUCGGUAUGCACUGGUAUCAUUGAUUUCUACCUUCUGACGAACUGUGAUGUCAUUAAUUUGGUGUCAUAGGGAAUCAGGACUGUUACUUUGAAAAAUUAGAGUGUUUAAAGCAGGCACACGCUUGAAUACAUUAGCAUGGAAUAAUGAAAUAGGACGUUUGACCCUAUUUUGUUGGUUUCUAGGAUCGACGUAAUGAUUAAUAGGGAUAGUUGGGGGCAUUAGUAUUCAAUUGUCAGAGGUGAAAUUCUUGGAUUUAUUGAAGACUAACUACUGCGAAAGCACUUGCCAAGGAUGUUUUCAUUAAUCAAGAACGAAAGUUAGGGGAUCGAAGACGAUCAGAUACCGUCGUAGU